GUAUGACCUUUGUGUCGACGACAUAUCUUUCAAGUGUCUGACUUAUCAACUUUAGACGGUACAUUAUAUGUCUACCGUGGUUGUAACGAGUACAGAGAAUCAGGGUUUGGUUCUGGAGAGGCCGCCUGAGAAACGGCGACCACUUCCAAGGAAGGCAGCAGGCGCGCAAAUUACCCACUCUCAAAAUGAGGAGGUAGUGAAGAGAAAUAACGAUGUUAGUCUUUUUAAGGCUGACAAUCGGAAUGGGAACACUGUAAAAAGGUUAUCGAUUAACAAUUGGAGGGCAAGUCUGGUGCCAGCAGCCGCGGUAAUUCCAGCUCCAAUAAGGAAAACUAAAAGUUGCUGUGUUUAAAAAGCUCGUAGUUGAAUUUCGGGUAUUUGUUGCUAGCUGGUCUAACUGGCCAUGUUGGUUAACAGAUCUCAUUUGCUGGACGGCUGGCGAUGAUCUUUAUCGAUUGUCGUCAGUUGCCAGAACGUUUAC
rnacentral:rRNA from 1 species